rnacentral:rRNA from 1 species
AUUGAACGCUGGCGGCAGGCCUAACACAUGCAAGUCGAGCGGAGCGGCGGACGGGCGUGUCAUGUCUAGGAACCUGCCCGGUAGCGGGGGAUAACGUUCGGAAACGGGCGCUAAUACCGCUUACUAUCAGAUGAGCCUAGGUGGGUUUAGCUAGUUGGUGGGGUAAAGGCCUACCAAGGCGACGAACCGUAACCGGUCUGAGAGGAUGAUCAGUCACACUGGAACGGAGCCACGGUCCAGACUCCUACGGGAGGCCGCAGUGGCGAAUAUUGGGCAAUGGGCGAAAGCCUGAUACAGCCAUGCAGCGUGUGUUAAGAAGGUCUUCGGAUUGUAAAGCCCUUUAUGUGGGGGUACGUUACCAACAGAAGAAGCACCGGCUAACUACGUGCCAGCAGCCGCGGUAAUAC